GCCAUCUGCAACAGACAGACACAAACCUGUUAUUGCUCCUAAGGCAGGCUCACCUCCCUUCUGAGAAGGCUCUAUGGGACAGUCAGACUGUUUGGGAUGUCAUCAUCUGUCCAUCUACCUGCUGGGCUAGCCCACAAGCCUUGACAGACUUACACAGUUCAGAAUAAAGCCUGUUGUCCUCCAUGUCCUCUCCAGUCCUUCUAACUCAUAGAUGCCAUAGAAUCAUAGAAUAAUUUACGUUGGGAAAGACCUCUAAGAUCAUCUGAUCCAACCUUUAACCUAGCACUGCCAAAUCCAACAUUAUACCAUUUCACUAAGUUCUACAUCUACACAACUUUUGAAGACCUCCAGGGAUGGUGACUCAACCACUUCCCUAGGCAGCCUGUUCCAAUGCUUCACAACCCUUAAAGUGAAGAAAUUUCCCCUCAAAUCCAACCUAACCCUCUCCUGGUGCAACUUGAGGCCAUUUCUUCUUGUCCUAAUGCUUGUUGCUUGGGAGAAGAGCCUGAUCCCCACCUUGGUGUAGCCUCCUUUAGGGUAAUUGUAGAGCUCCAUAAAGUCUCCUCUGAACCACCUUUUCUCCAUCACCCACAAAUGGAACCACCCUGGCUCAACAUUUUGGGAACUCCUAUCGUUUGGAGAAAAGAAACAAUGCCAGACCUUAUUCUCCACCUUCUCCAAUGUGUGCAAUAAGAUGUCAGGGUCAAGUAUGUCACCUAAUCAUCAAAGCAGGGAGGUCUGGGACAGCUUCUCAGCAAUCUAGGGCGGUGGGGAAAUACCCCUUGCCCCCUCCAGUUUUUAAAAUGAUGCUGAAUAAGCUUCAUAUGGGUGUUGUAUUAUGUGAAGAACCAUUGAGUGGACCCUGGAAAUUCUUUAUAGCCUCACAUUGCUGGAGACUCAUUGAAUUUAACAAAGAGAAAGCAGGAGCUGUGAAUCAAGAAACCUCACUGUUUGACACAGCUGGGGUCAGACUGCAGCCAGAAUGGGUUAAAUGUGUCCUGCAGGAACUGGCAGCUACUGGAUGGCUUUGCUUCUGCUUCCCAGCUGCUUGCAUAAAGGGUUUGUUGCUGUCUGAGUCUGCCCCAGCCCGACUGUCUGCAGCAAAGUCAACAACCCCGAGCGGGCUAUGCUGGAGCGUCUCGGUCUCUGCUCAGCCCAGAGGCAGGCUCUGCAAUACCUUCCCUGGGCAAUGGGGGUUAAAACCCUCUCCUGCCUUUGCAGUCCAGCUCUGGACUGUGAAAAGUAACCCAUGGCAGCUGGCACAUAGCUGUGGUAAAGCCCCCCAACAAGGAGGAAGUCACAGAUGUAACAACACCAUCAAAAGCUAAGGCUGUUCUUGUCAUCCUGGGCUCCCAGUGAAGGCAGACAGGUUUCUCAGGAAAUGCAUGAGCCCAUCAGGAGCCCUCUGUGAUGACAUUGGCAUGGACUUGGUGCCAAUAGUCUUUGAAAGAGAAAACACAGUCCUCAGCUUCUCAAGGCACAGUGCCUCGUGCAGACCAUGGACCAGGCUGAGACCUUGCUUUGGCUACUCAAUCACCUGCAUAAAAGCUUCUUGAAGCCACUGGGGAUCAUUUUGAGUGCUAUUUCCCAAACUUUCCCAAUUUAGUGUAGGUCUGGAGACCCUGGGCAGGGAGAAGUUUGAGCAUCCUUCCAUCUAUCUUGGAGAAGUCCAAACCUCCUUCCAUGUCUCUUGGAUAAGUCCAAGCCCCCUUCCAUCUCUCCUGGCUUCUGCAGCAGUCCUGGUGACAAAAUGGGGUCCCUGAGCUGUGUGAAUGGUGCUGUGGGCUCUCGAAGACCCACACUGCUUGUGUUGAAGCAUGAGUCCAGGGAAAGUUCUCCAGACCCACGCCAGUGUCCCUGCCUUCAUGGUAUGGCCUGAGCACACCCCUGCAUCCAUCUAUCCUUCUGCUUGCCCUGGGGAUGACGGCAUCUUACCCACUAAUUGAUCCUCGUGACAGCCUUGUUCCAGGUCACGGGGAGGGAAAAGCUGAUUUCCACCACCGUGGGGUGAUCGAUGGCAGCGGGGAGCGUGCAUCCACCCCCCCCUGCUGCACGCAACAAGGUCACUUAUCAGCUGCUGGCACCCAGCCCCACACUCAGCAAUUCGCACAGGUCCUCCAAGGAAACACAAGCAGGCUCUGAGCAGGAUCACGGUGUAUUUAUACAUUAGUUAUUCUUUUACCCCAGGUCACCCACAGCCUCCUGAUCUGUAAGUACCGACCCUAUUUAUAUACCAGCUGCCACGCUGAGCAGUGCUGUCCCGACCUGGCUGCCCUCCUUACUGGAGAUAAUGGUUAGAUAAUCUAACUGAUCACCUUGCUUCCUGCU
rnacentral:lncRNA from 1 species